rnacentral:rRNA from 2 species
GGACUACCGGGGUUUCUAAUCCUGUUUGAUCCCCACACUUUCGUGCCUCAGUGUCAAUAAUAGCGUAGCGAGCUGCCUUCGCAAUCGAUGUUCUAUGUCAUAUCUAAGCAUCUCACCGCUACAUGACAUAUUCCGCUUACCUCCACAACAUUCAAGAUAUAUAGUAUCAAUGGCAAUUUCCGGGUUAAGCCCAGAGAUUUCACCACUGACUUACAUAUCCGCCUGCGCACCCUUUAAACCCAGUGAAUCCGGAUAACGCUUGCACCCUCCGUAUUACCGCGGCUGCUG